ensembl:snRNA U6 U6 spliceosomal RNA
GUGCGCACUUAGGCAGCACAUAUACUAAAGGAGGAACAAUACAGAGAAAAUUAGCAUGGCCUAUGAUCAAGGAUGACAUGUAAAUUCAUACCAUAUUUUA